UCGGGAAUCUUCCGCAAUGGGCGAAAGCCUGACGGAGCAACGCCGCGUGAGUGAUGAAGGUCUUCGGAUCGUAAAACUCUGUUAUCAGGGAAGAACAAAUGUGUAAGUAACUGUGCACAUCUUGACGGUACCUGAUCAGAAAGCCACGGCUAACUACGUGCCAGCAGCCGCGGUAAUACGUAGGUGGCAAGCGUUAUCCGGAAUUAUUGGGCGUAAAGCGCGCGUAGGCGGUUUUUUAAGUCUGAUGUGAAAGCCCACGGCUCAACCGUGGAGGGUCAUUGGAAACUGGAAAACUUGAGUGCAGAAGAGGAAAGUGGAAUUCCAUGUGUAGCGGUGAAAUGCGCAGAGAUAUGGAGGAACACCAGUGGCGAAGGCGACUUUCUGGUCUGUAACUGACGCUGAUGUGCGAAAGCGUGGGGAGCAAACA
rnacentral:rRNA from 1 species